rnacentral:rRNA from 1 species
GAUGAACGCUGGCGGCGUGCCUAAUACAUGCAAGUCGAGCGAACAGACGAGGAGCUUGCUCCUUUGACGUUAGCGGCGGACGGGUGAGUAACACGUAGGUAACCUACCUAUAAGACUGGGAUAACUUCGGGAAACCGGAGCUAAUACCGGAUAAUAUUUCGAACCGCAUGGUUCGAUAGUGAAAGAUGGCUUUGCUAUCACUUAUAGAUGGACCUGCGCCGUAUUAGCUAGUUGGUAAGGUAACGGCUUACCAAGGCAACGAUACGUAGCCGACCUGAGAGGGGGGCCGCCCACAUGCGACAUGAACCCGCUCCCGGCCCCCCCGGGGGGGAGCAAUUAGGAAUCUUCCUGAAAGGGCCGAAGCCUUGCCGGCCCAGCGCCGGGGGAUGAACAAACUUUUCAUAAUAUAAAACCUUUUUUAUUGGGAAAAAAAAAACGUUUAAGAACUUGUGCUCUCCUGAAGGUUCCCUAACCAGAAGCCCCGCCCAACCCCCGCC